GCCGGAGUGGUGGAACUGGUAGACACGCAGGUUUUAGGUACCUGUGCCUUCGGGUGUGCGGGUUCGAGUCCCGCCUUCGGCA
rnacentral:tRNA from 1 species